GUAUGAACACAACAAGUUCAUCACAGUGUACACAAACCCUAACCCCACAAAUAUAGAUUAUUUUCCCCCAAAUGCUAAAACUAUCUAAGAACUCACCUAGUAGAAGAAGAAGAUGAACUUGGUGAUGAUGAAGAUGAGAUGAUGGUGUUGAUGAACAUGCUCUUCAUGAGCUUUCCAUCUUCUUUCUCUUUUCUUCUUCUUCCUCUUUCUUCUUUCCUUCUCUUUCUCUUCUUUUCCCUUUCUGAUAACUCUUUCUCUCUUUCUUCUUAUCUCUUCCCACUACUUCUUAUUCUUUUCUUCUUUUCUUUUCCACCACACAAUACAUAUACUAUAUAAUAUAUAUAAUAUAUAA
rnacentral:lncRNA from 1 species